UACAGUGUAAACGGGGUGGGUAUCAAUCGUCUACGCGGUGGGUCCACUGUUUUAGGGUUUGCAGAGUUUCCAUUUUACUUUUCAUUUCCGAUCCACAAUUGAUCCAAAUACAUUAAAUCAUUUCUUCCGUUCUUUCCUCUUUGCAAUUCGCCACAUUCAAAGAUAUCAUUCAAUAACUUCGUGCCACCUGUUAAAUUCAUUCCGAGGAAUUCGUUCCUUUGUACUUAUCCAGCAUGCAGGCUUCGCGGGCUAGGCUGUUCAAGGAGUACAAAGAGGUGCAGCGAGAGAAGGCGGUUGAUCCUGAUAUUCAACUGGUGUGUGAUGAUUCUAAUAUUUUUAAAUGGACGGCUCUCAUUAAGGGACCCUCUGAGACUCCUUUUGAGGGGGGUGUAUUCCAACUUGCUUUUUCUGUUCCGGAACAGUAUCCUCUGCAACCGCCUCAAGUCCGGUUUUUGACUAAAAUAUUUCACCCGAAUGUGCAUUUUAAGACCGGGGAGAUUUGCCUAGAUAUCUUGAAAAAUGCUUGGAGCCCAGCUUGGACACUUCAAUCUGUCUGUAGGGCUAUAAUUGCUUUGAUGGCUCAUCCAGAACCUGACAGCCCACUGAAUUGUGAUUCAGGCAAUCUUCUGCGUUCAGGUGAUGUUAGAGGGUACCAGUCCAUGGCAAGAAUGUACACCAGGCUUGCAGCAAUGCCAAAGAAAGGCUGAAUGAUUUCAGAUAACUUGUUUCCUAUGUUUGUUUAGGUGACAAGAAGCGGUAGAUACAGAGUGUAGGUGUGACUUCGCAUAUCUUGAUUCAUGCCAGAAUUGAGCUCAACAUAUUCAAAUAAUCCUUGUGCUUUAUUUGUAUGAAAGUCAGGUUUUGAGCUUGCAUUCCAUAAUUUGAGUCAGGAGCAGCAUAUUGUGCAGUCCAAUUACUUUUCAUGGUUUGAUUCUUCAUGCAUAAUUUAUGCACGGUCUAAUUCUUGGCUCCUUUUGGAGGAAGCUUUUUACUUCUUCCAUGAGGACUAACCAUCUGAUUAUUAAUGGGACUGGGGUUCCCAUGUAUGAUGGUCGUGAUCUCCUCGGAGGAAGAAACUUUUUGGAGGGCACUGCGUAUAUCAGCACUCACUGAAAUUUUCCCCAAUCUAAGAGGAUGGGAGAUACCAUACACUAAUUUAAAACACUCGCACAUUGGAAGACACGUUGAUUAUAACAUACGUGUACGCGAUAUACACAUUGGAAAAAUUCUUGCGUAAGAUGCACUACGUCAAUUAUUGAUGCAUUAUUGAUUAAUGAUUAAAUAAGUAAUGUUUAG